rnacentral:rRNA from 1 species
AUUGAACGCUGGCGGCAGGCCUAACACAUGCAAGUCGAGCGGAUGAAGGGAGCUUGCUCCUGGAUUCAGCGGCGGACGGGUGAGUAAUGCCUAGGAAUCUGCCUGGUAGUGGGGGAUAACGUCCGGAAACGGGCGCUAAUACCGCAUACGUCCUGAGGGAGAAAGUGGGGGAUCUUCGGACCUCACGCUAUCAGAUGAGCCUAGGUCGGAUUAGCUAGUUGGUGGGGUAAAGGCCUACCAAGGCGACGAUCCGUAACUGGUCUGAGAGGAUGAUCAGUCACACUGGAACUGAGACACGGUCCAGACUCCUACGGGAGGCAGCAGUGGGGAAUAUUGGACAAUGUGCGAAAGCCUGAUCCAGCCAUGCCGCGUGUGUGAAGAAGGUCUUCGGAUUGUAAAGCACUUUAAGUUGGGAGGAAGGGCAGUAAGUUAAUACCUUGCUGUUUUGACGUGACCAACAGAAUAAGCACCGGCUAACUUCG